rnacentral:rRNA from 1 species
UACGUAGGGUGCGAGCGUUGUCCGGAUUUAUUGGGCGUAAAGAGCUCGUAGGCGGUUUGUCGCGUCGGCCGUGAAAUCUCCACGCUUAACGUGGAGCGUGCGGUCGAUACGGGCAGACUAGAGUGCAGUAGGGGAGACUGGAAUUCCUGGUGUAGCGGUGGAAUGCGCAGAUAUCAGGAGGAACACCGAUGGCGAAGGCAGCUCGCUGGGACGGUACUGACGCUGAGGCGCGAAAGCGUGGGGAGCGAACAGG